GGGAGGGGAGUGCAGCAGUGUGAGGUCAGAAAGCCCAAAGGGCCGGCCUGAUGCACCCUCAACACAAGUGUAGGCACCCGGGCAGGCGGCCAGUGGGGGCUGCGAGCACAAGUCCGGGGACAAGGCCUGGAGAGAGCCCAGGCAUGGAGGGGAAUUCGGUGCUCCCCAGGCAUCCUGCAGUGACUGAGCCCGAUCAUCGUGACUGUGUGGGCGCGUGGGCAGAGGAACAGUUCUCUGAAGACAGGAACCCACAUGGUUCUUUAGCGAGGAAUCUGCGUGUGCGGACGCGGCCGCAGGGGGCGCAGUGACUCGGCCCUGCGGUGGGGCAGGAGGAGAUGGUGCAGUGUUGAAGUCUCCCUCUGAGAAUCGUCCUUGUCCCGGGUUCAGAGUCCAGCCCAGGGCCCUGCUGACCAGUUCCUCCCGUCGCCUGGACUGGAACAGCCUCGCUGAGUUCCAGAAAGCUAAGGAGAGCGCCCCGGCCCUCCAAGCGCGACCCCCACCCCCACCCCAGAGACGCAAGGCUUGGCCUGGGGGAAGCCAUCAGAAGUCACCUUGAAGGUGAGCCCUCGGCAUCCAGCGCAGGAACCGGCAGUCCCCGCCUCCUGAUGGGGGGAGUUCCUGGGGGCGUCACAGGCCUGGGAUGCUCGGCCACAAGUCGCUGCCCUUACCCAGCCCAGGAAGUCAGGAAUGUCCCAGAUGCCGCCGCCUCCUGGGGCCACUCCGGGAACGCACCACUCGCCAGUGUCCAUCUGCAAGGCCACACCAGGACUAAACAUCAGGAGCCUGGUUACCUGGCCCAGGUUUGGGGCCUGGGUCCCAGGGAGAAGCUGGGUCCUGAUCCACCGUCCUCCAUCUGGAGCCGCGUCCCACCCCCAAGUCCCGACUUGGGCAAAUCAGAGGAGAAAGUGCGGACGGAGCCCGCAGCCCCUUCCUGCCGCCCAACGCAUCUGAUGCCGAAGACAAAUCUCUGCUCCAGACAGCAUUUCUCCGACACCCCGCACUUCCUCAUUUACCUUUUCAAUAAGGAGAGCGCAGCCCUCGGCUCAGGACCAAGCAUGAGUGAUGCUACGGAGCCAAACAGUAUUCACUUUUGUCAUAUUCAUCAGUGCUAUGAUCUCCUGUUAAUGCAAACACUUUCCAGCUCUGGUGCCGGCUCCUCGUAGAACAAAUUCAUUUCAGCUGACAAAGUCAGCUAAGCAGAGACAAUAAGUGGAUAAUAACACAGGUGACGCUCAGCCUCAGAAACCACUGGCGCGUGGAGCCGAGUGGACCAGGGCGUGGCUGAGGUCACGGGGGAGCGGUGCCGGCAGCCGUCUGGUGCCGCGCUUGCCGUGGGUCCGUGUUGUUCAGGCACGUGGGCGUCAGGAGAGGGGAAGGAGACUUUCACCCACCGGGAUCUGAGCUUGGAGCUGCACCCGGCUGCCCCCCCACCUCCUCAAUCUGCAGCCGCCUGGGCAGCCCCCUUGCAGGUGGGUCUUGGCUGCGCAUGGAGUCACUGACCGGAGGGGGCAGGCAGUCGCCCCCGCUGUUUCCUGCUGGCCGCGGUCCAGGGAGUGCGGGGUCCCCCUAGCAGCCUCCCCACCUCUAUAAACCAGGUUGCGGCAUGCUGAGGGGCAUGUGAUGGCGGCUGCAGACGGGGUGGAUCACAGGGCCCCAGGGUGUUCCUGCAGGCAGCUGGUGCCAGGGUUGGCCUCUGGAUCUAGAGCCCUCUGAGCCUUGUCGCAAUGGGGCUGGUGCUGCCCCGGGCAGGCCACUGGUGGGUGCCAAGGAGGUUCCAGGUCCUAGGGCCCAUGAGAGCCUCACCACUGCUUGUUCUUUAAAAAAAAAAUUAAAAAUAUUUAUGUGAAAGGCAGAGCUACAGAGAGAGGGAGACAGUGAGAUCUUCCCUCCACUGGUUCACGCCCCCAUGACUGCAAUGGCCAGGGCCGCCAGGUCUCCACUUGGUGUCAGGGACCCAAGCACUUGGGCCACCGUCGGCUUUCCCAGGUACGUUAGUAAGGAGCAGGAUCUGAACCACAACAGCUGGAAACCAAAUCUGUGCUCCUAUGGGAUUAUGGGAUGCCGGUGUCACUGGUGGCCACUUAACCCACUGCACCGCAGGGCUGGUCCCCUCGCCUCCGCUCUGUCCAGGGAGACUUGUGAGCACCUGGAUUUGCAGCCCUGGUCCCCGGCCUUCUCCAACAGACAGGGGCUCUGGGCCACGACUGAGCUUCCCAGGGACCCAGCCCUCUGCUUCCUGCACGGUGGGCAGCGGAAGGAGGGAGCCAUCACCACGUCAGCCCUCCUGGGCCCUGGGUUAUUUACACAGAGCAGGUGCGUGUCAUGGUUUGUGACCUCUGACCUGUCCUGCUGCCCUCAGGAACCUACUGUGUCAACUCUCCUAACCUCCUGGUGGCGUCCACCCGGCAACCCCAGGCCAAGGAGGCCACCAGGACUCACAGUCGACUAACGAGGACCGACUGCCCUCCUGCUGCCGUCCACGGGGUGAGUUGCAGGUGGCCUGGGGCCCCGCCUCCUCUGGUUCCUCAGCCUUUCCCGCCUCCCCUUGCAGAGUUGAGAGAUGAGAUGAUGUUUCGCAUAGCAAAUACCCAGGGAGGCAGAGUCCUGAUGUUUUUAAACCAGAAAGACAGAAAGAGAGAGAGAGAGAGGACUCAAUUGCCAAGAGCUACCAGGAGCGCAAUUUUUCAACACCGUCAGCACAACCCUGCCGCUCCCGGCCUCCGCGCUGCUUUGCUUUGCUGAACUUUCCCUGGACGAAGGGAUGGAAGAAGCCCAGCGCGGGCCCCGCGGGCUCGACACGGAACUGGGGCUCCCUGAGUGCGAGUCUCCCUGGCAGCCCCAGAAGCAUCCAGCCGGCCACACGAUGUGGUUUGUGUCAACUCCCUGUGUUUCCUGCUGCAGUUCCCACGUGGAAUGAGGGCCUGGCUGCUCGCCUGGGUGAGGGACUCCGCACAACCUGAACUCCUGAGAAGGAAGAAAACGAGGCAGCCCGGCGACGCCCAGGCCCGGCAGGGGCUCGUGGCGUUGAUGGUGACCUAGAGGGCCGUCCGCCCUGGCCGAUUCCCCUCAGAGACCGGCACGCAGUGGAGAGGGAAGGCAGGCACGGGGGACCACCGGCUUCCCACGCACGUACCCUCCUGACAAGAACACUUUCCCUGUUUGCUGCACCGCCCUCACACCCCAGGGAUGGGGGGCUGCAGCCGCCUGCCCCUGAGCUCUCUUUGUGAUUGGACUUGGCUGCUGGCGCGUGCCGAGCUACUUCCCGGCACCGGGAGGGUUCUCUCCCGGCGACUGCUGCUCUGCUGGAGCCAUGGGAGCCACGCAAAUCUCUUCUCCCUCCAGGGCUCCGGGCUGAGUGACACACACAGGGCUCCGGGCUGAGUGACACACACAGGGCUCUGGGCUGAGUGACACAGGGCACAGGGCUCCGGGCUGAGUGACACAGGCACAGGGCUCUGGGGUGAGUGACACACACAGGGCUCCGGGCUGAGUGACACAGGCACAGGGCUCCGGGCUGAGUGACACAGGCACAGGGCUCCGGGCUGAGUACACACGCGCAGGGCUCCGGGCUGAGUACACAUUCACAGGGCUCCAGGCUGAGUACACACACACAGGGUUCCGGGACUCAGCAGGAGUUAGCCGAGCAGCACCCAUGCCUCAUUUCCCUCUGCUGUCACCGGGUAAUCUGCGGUGUUGAAUUGUGCCGGGCAGUCUGCUGGCUAAAUGUGUCAUCUUUUAUUUUUUUAAAAAUAUUUAUUCAUUUUAUUUGAAAGGCAGAGUUACAGAGAGUAGAGGGAGAGAGAGAGAGAGAGAGAGAGAGAGAGAGAGAGAGAGAGAGAAAGAGAGGUUUUCCAUCUGCUGGUUCACUCCCCAGAUGGCCACAAUGGCCGGAGCUGUGCUGAUCCGAAGCCAGGAGCCAAGAGCAUCUUCCAGGUCUCCCACGUGGGUGCAGGGGCCCAAGGACUUGGACCAUCUUCUACUGCUCUCCCAGGCCAUAGCAGAGAACUGGAUGGAAAGUGGAGCAGCCAGGACUUGAACCGGCGCCCAUAUGGGAUGCUGGCACUGCAGGUGGCAGCUUUACCUGCUAUGCCACAGCGCCGGCCCCU